rnacentral:rRNA from 1 species
ACAUGCCUACAACAUAGCAUUGAUGCACUGGAUCCCAUUAAAACUCUGCAGUUAAGCAUGCUCAAUCUAGAGUAGUAUUGGGAUGGGUGACCACCCGGGAAGUCCUAUUGUUUUACAUGCC